CCUCCCUUCCAAUACGAAGAUAGUACUCCAGUUUAACAGUGAGCUGCAACCGAUUGGUCAGGCGGCAGGAUUACUGAGUGGUUUCAUAGGGAGUUUGGGUGCGGAUUAUUCCCGGUUCCCCAUACACUUAGAAAGUUGGAAGCUGGUGAGCAAAGCAAAGAGGGAUCAUGCGUACGACAUGCUUAAGCGGGUCUUUUACUAUGAGGACGAUGCCGGAGGAAAAAUAAAGCGUGAUAUUUUGAAGAGAAUAGGAAAGAACUGGAAGGAUUCAAGGCACCACUUGUUUCAUAGGUGUUACAAACAAAUAAGGACUUAUGAGGAAAAUCUUCAACAUCACCAGAAAGGAAUAGACAAAAAUGAUUGGAAAAAGUUCGUUGACUAUCGCCUAAAUGAGGAAACGCA